UCUACUUCAGGUGACUACUGAGCAGCACUCUCAGCUGGAGUGGAGAACUUCAGAGCUGAAUCCAGGACUGUAAACAAGACUGCAUUCCCAAGGGCACCAUCUGAUCUGGAAGAUGGAACUACUGUAUAGUGUUUGGAAAAAGUGCAAGCAGUCACUAUUCCUGCAAACCAUUGAGAAGCCCCAUCUUGAGGUGAAAACCUCCUAGGUUGGGGUGAAGAACCUGAACAGUCUCUUGAGAAAACAGAUGAGAAAUUGCCACAAGGUUGAUUGCAGAUAGCUAGGUGAAUCAGACUUUCCAUUUUCCUCAGUCUUAGUCAUUGUUCCAGUCAAGACCUAAAGUGGAGGAUAAAAUAUUCAGAAACCACAUUAAAAAGGUCUGAGAGACUGAGAUGAACUGUCUGAAAAAUUAGAAGAAAAUCUCGUCAAAAGAAACAGGAGAGUAAUGGCUUAACAGUUGCUUGGCCUGGGCAUGUGAGGGAAGUUACCAUUUACCUGUUUUACUACUAGAAGACCCUGUCCUGCAAACGCUACCUACCAAGUAUUUUUAAACUAUCAUGAGCAGGCCACUUCAGCCAAUGGGAUCACUCCUGGGAGAAAACACUAUGCUAGUCAGGAAAUGGUUGCAGAACUACCAGGGAAAUUUACAACAGGCAACAACAAAAAUCCCUACUGGUUUUAACACCUGGUAUAGAGGAGCCUAUUUUUAUCACCAUUUUAGUUACAGCAGCUGGAAAGCAACAUGGUGGUAAAAAAA